rnacentral:rRNA from 1 species
GACGAACGCUGGCGGCGUGCUUAACACAUGCAAGUCGAACGGAAAGACCCUGCUAUUGUGGGGUGCUCGGGUGGCGAAAGGGUGAGUCACCCGUGAGUAACCUACCCUUGAAUUUGGGAUAACUUUAGGAAACUGGGGCUACUGCCGACCAGGAGCUCCAGCUGCUUGGAGUGGCAUGUAACAUAUCGGCGGUUGGGAAUAGACUGGCGGCUUAUCAGCUUGUUGGUGGGGUAGUGGAUUACCAAGGCUGUGACGGGUAGCCGGCCUGAGAGGGUGACCGGACAGAUUGGGACUGAGAUACGGCACAGACUAAUACGGGAGGCAGGAGAGGGGUAGAGUGUACAAUGGGAGGAAGCCAGAUGCAGCGAAGCCGCGUGCGGGAAGAGAGGAUGCGGGUUGUGACGCGCUUUCGCCUGUGAUGAAGAGUGAGUGACGGUAACAGGUGAAGAAGCACCGGCUAACUACGUG